rnacentral:lncRNA from 1 species
GACCUUAUUAGUUUUACUCUCGCAAUGUAAUUUCGAGAAAUUUAGGUACUGUUUAUAAUUACUGGAAGUCUAAUGACCAAAGUAUGACCACGGAAAUUUCUAGGGGCUGGGACAGAAGUUCUCAAAUUAUAUUCUUCCUAAUUUCAUGGAGCCGACACAGAGUCUCCGUCGGAAGUACAUCGUCGCCCCUACCUCCGUGAGCAAGACAACAAUCGACUCUAUUUGAUUGGAAGUAGUAAGAAACUCCAUUCCUUAUCUGUAGAAAUCAGCCCCGGCGAUCUAGAGUCAGAGAGGCGAUGAGACGGAGAGCCGAGGUCCGCCGAAGAUCGAUGAUUCCUUGAGUCUAACAGAUAUGAGCAUUGACUGGAAGAUGAAGGCUCUUCGUCGCUGGCUAUCGAGAAUAAUGAGUUCCGAUAGGUCACGGCUUCCUAACGAUUUGGACGCAAGCUGUGAAUCUGUUUCCAAUCCUUCCGCCGUCGUCGAUGAGUGAACUAAUGGCUAAACUCCAGAACUUGGCGGAUCAAAGAGGCAAAAAUUAGACCUGUGAUUGAAAGAGGUAAAAAUUAGACCUGUGAUUAGGGACUAGGGAUGUGUUUUAACCUAUUUGAGUGACCUGGAUUUGCUUAAUUGCAGUAACAAUCAUCUCCAUGAUUCCAGGAGAGCUCAAUUCGCCGGAGAGUUCCAGUCGUAGAGGAGGUGCGUGCAGGAAAUGAAGCGGGUGAAGCGGACGUCACCGUUAACGUCAUCGUCGGGUCACCAUAUGGUAACGUGUGGUCCACUGAUUGGGUAACCUCUGACUCAGUGCCUCGUCACCAAAGCUACAUCGUUUUGACUGAGAUGCAAGCUGGAGAACUAAAUAAAAAUAAUACUAGUCGAGGUACGGGUCGAACAUGGGCCCCCGACAAUAUCAGUUCGAGUCCUUACCAAUUGACUAAAGCUUAUUUCAUUUGAAUAGGUUUAUCUUCACAGUUCACCAAUCUCAUUUGAAUUGGUUUAGAUCUUAGAUGUUAGUCUAACUAAUCCUAAUAAUUUUUAAUCUACUAUGCAUAACAUAAAAAUCAUAUCACAUCUUAAACAUGAAAUAAUAACAAUAAUAAUAAUAGUAAUCAUAAUAAUCACAUAUAUAAUCAUAAUUAUACUUAUAGGCUUCCUCAUCAUAAUCAAAUUCAGAAUUAUAAUAAAUAUAUAUACACCCGUUACUUAGUCAUGUAAUGAUCACAUUCAUAAUGCUCAUAAGUUAAUAAUUAGUAAUUUAUUAUAAUUUUAAAGUCAAUGACACUUUUACUGAGGGAAAUUUACGAAUUCCCAUACAUAAAUUUCGUCACUAAAUUCAGGAUAUAACAGUUAAAAUGUGAAAUUUAUGUUGUACUAAUUCACCUAACUCUUUUAUUUAUUGGUUCAAGUUAAUAAACCAAUGUCAGCUAUACACUUUGAAAUUGUACUAAUAUAUCAAUGGUGUACUAGUUCACAAACUCAUUCAAAUUAUAAAACCAAUGUGAGCUAUUGAGUUAACCAAUUAUACUAGUUUGUUAAGGAUUUUUUAUACAAGGGUUGUCCUAGUUCAAUUGAUUUCAGCAGUACAUGAUGUCUCACUAAUGGGUACUAGUUCAUACGCAAAUCACUAUAUGCGACCAAAGAAAUUGAUAUAUUGAAAAAUAAAAGUAUACAUAACUAGUCUAGUACCGUUACAACAAUGGCAUUGUAUCAGCCACCAUAUCAUAUUACAAAAUUCCGUCGUAUACUAGUGCAUCGAACAAAUCCAAUCUAACCCACAAAUAAUAUAAUAACAAAUUUUAUCCUGUGCUAGUGCACCCAAAAACUAGAUCUGAAUUUGAUGUCAUUCCCGAUAGUAAUAUAUUUGACGAUGUUGGAGCUACUUGAGUGAAUGGUAGGAAAGCAAGAUUGAUCUUGGACACAUGAGGCUGACGGUUGGUCGAUUUAUCACAAUCUGAACAUGAGAAGAGGGAAAACGAACUGAAGAGGUUGGAAACAACGUGAGGGAAGAAUAUGAAAUCCGAUCUCGAUGUGGAUAAGAGAUUUGAUUCUGAGCUUACUUGACGAGAAUGGAAGACCCGAUAGACGAGGCAUGUCAGAAGAUGGAUCAAUGGUCAUGGCGGUGAUGGCAGCUGAAAGUCUCAAUGGAGAGCAAAGUGAUGGCAGGGGUUUCGCCGACGAGGAGAAGGAUGGACUAACGAUGGCGGCAUGAAAGAGAGAGGUAUGGUGAUGAAUAGAGAAUUUUUUCAUGUGGCGACUACUUUCGGUGGAAUGAAUAAGUAAAGUUUUGAUAAGGAUAUAAAUAUUUGUAUUGCAACGGAUCUACUCCUAGUGAUAGAGUCAAUCAAAUAUAAGGAGCAAAAAAGUAAAGACACCAGAUUUGUUUAUGCUAUUCAAAGAGUAAACUCGCCUAAUCAGCGAAGUCUCAGAGAGGGAAUGGUGUGCCCAAAGAUGCAUUACUAGCAAACGUGUUCAGACCGAUUACAACUCAGAUAGAUCUCAACCUAAACCCUAAGAAAAAAAUGCAAGAAGCCAACAUGGAAUGAAACAACAGAGAGAAGAGAAACGGAGAGUUUCGCCCCCCUUCCAGGCCGAGAACGUAUCACAGACGUUCCGAGAAUCGUGAGCUGGUCGCGGGAUCGCCGUUGCAUUCUUCAUCUUCUCGCGGCGACUGAAGUGGGAGGAUUCAUUCUCCGCACCACUUCAGAUGAUAAGCAUUUUGAUAUGAAGUGCUUUCCACCAAAAACUCUGCGUUUCAUGUACCUGCAAAACAAAAACUAAAAACCGAGUGGUCUAACAUCUAACUGGUCUACUAAUCAUUCUGAUUCAGGUCUAGUUGUGACAAGAUUAUAACAGUUUUCCUUCUAAUCCCAUUGCCAUCUACAUCCUGGCUUUUGCCAAAGCAAUGCAUCCCAGGACUAAAUAAACACCUAUCAUUAUUGACUCAAUUUUUUGCGACUCCAGCCCACAUCUGUGAUGUGGAAGUUGUAACAAUCAUAGUACUGACAGGUUCGAUUUAAAUACAACAUCAAAGCUGUAAUAGGGGUGCUACGCUCCUUGCGCCAUAUAUAUCAUGUAAAAUAGUUUAUCAAUUCAAUUUCUUCCCUAAUCUAGAACGGUACUUAUACGUACCCAUACAAUUAACACAGGAAAUGCUCACUAUGUGAUAUAUUACUUAUUUAUUUCACAAAACACUAUAACAGAAGUCCGUAAGGACACAUAUUAGUACAUAAUAGAACAGAAGUCUCGAGCUUCACAGGCUCUAGCCACAGUCACCAUAUAUUUUCUCCUCAAGGCCACUAUAAUUUAGAAAACUAUAUUUCACAUCGUAUUAGUACACGAUAACUCAUAACGUAUGCACAUGAUGAGAGAAGAAGUCCCAAAUGGGUUUUAAAACACAAAACGAGGAUCAAGACACAAUCUUCGAUAUCUACCUGGCGUUGUUGCCAUGAUGGCCGACCCUGGAGCUUGAUGAUACCAUAGCGUAGAUUUGCAGUGUGUGAACCAGUAAGGCCUACUGUUCCUCUGAAAUGGAAAGUAAAGGACAGUGCUAAUCAUUGAGUGAGGAUCUUUUUCAUGGCCACUCCAAUCUACCCAUAAUUAUAUAGAAAGUAUUUAGCAUAAAACAUAUAAUGCUACUCCUAUAUUCUAAGUCAUAUUCAUAUUUUAUUUGGGAUCCUAGCUCACAUACGUUGACGCUCCACAUAGAUGUUGGUGGCACUAAAAUGGGCCUACGUAAAGUUAUUGUGGCACUUGCCGAGGCCUAGAACGACAGUUAGUUGUGGCACUUACCAAAGCCGACCGCAUAACAGAAGCGCAAUAAGCACAAUCGCCAGCAUACAGGCCCUAACUAGGUGAUCAAUCAAUUACCGGAUUUAUUAAAUAAUUAAUAAUAGCUACAACUCAAAUUAAAGCAUAUAUUAAAUCAGAUAUACCAGCAAGGUAACAUAACAUGUAUCACAUCAAAUCACCGGUACAGUAAACAAACAUAUAUAAUCUUAAGAUUAAAUAGUAAAUAGCCUAGCAUGCAUAUGACCUCUAAUAAUAAUUAACUCAUAAUUGAACGUCUAACUUGGUCGAAUAUGCAAGAGACCCUCACCAGAAAUAACCCUUGAGAAUACCAAUAUAAGAUUCUGAGUCAAAAGCCCAUUCCCAAAUGAUCUUCGAGCAAGAACAAUGUAUACUCCUAUAGGUUUAUAUGUUUUAUGCUAAAUACUUUCUAUCCACUAUAACUUCUUCCAAACCCCUCUGCUUCUCUAUGAAUUUCUAUGCUUUCUUCUUAUUUUGUCAAAUAGGCACAUAUCAAUUUAUGCUACUCACAAAUGGUGGAUGCUACAACUAAGGACUCCCUUCACAACAAUCCAAAAGUACAAAUAUAACAUACAUUAUUUGUCCUUCGCCCUAAUAAUUCUCUCUAUUCCCUAGCCAACUCACGUGGAGGGAUGUGGUACUCCUGCUCCUAAGACCAUACUUUUUUCCAUAAGCAAUUUUUCAUAAUCUCUAGGAACCUAGACAUUCCUUCCAUCUCAGGAAAUGAAAUGUCUUAAUUCAUGUAUUGGUGAGUUUUCCCUCUAAAAUUUGCCACUAGACACCUAGUGAAUGUGAUAGUUAUAAGCAGAUAUAUGAUUAGCCACCAUAAACCUGGACCACCACUUAUACCAGAUUAAUUCAGUUGGUAUUUUGUUACGAUUGGGCUAGGAUGCUAUAGAAGUAGUCUUUAUAGAAGGUAAAACUUAUAUGUAGGAACCACUUUUGUACCAAAGUCUGCAUGGUUCUGUUGACCAAUGAUUUUCUCAAUUUUUAGAAUUCCAUUUUCAACUUCAUCUCGGAUGAAAUGGUAUCUAACAUCAAUGUGCUUAGUCUUUUCAUGAUAUACCAAAUCUUUACAUAAAUGUUAAGUACUCUGACUAUCCAUGAAAAGAGUUGGCAUGGAAACCUUACCUUAUAUCUCUGAUAGAAUACCUUUCAACCAAAUAGCCUCUUUGCAGGCUUCAGUGGCAGCAAUGUAUUCUGUCUCAGUAGAAGAUAAAGCUACUAUAGACUGUUGUUAUGAUUUCCAGAAAUGCAGUUUCUAGCCCAAGUAAAAAAGUAUGAAGUGAUGGACUUAAGGGUAUAUUUGUUGCUAGCAUGAUCAGAAUCAACAAAACCAAGAAGCUUCUUACCUGAAGUAUGCUCAACAUACUCAAGACCCAAAUUUCUUGUUCAAAAAAUGUACCCGAAAGCAUAUUUCAAUGCAUUUCAAUGCUUUCUCCUAGGUCAGGCAUGUAUCUGCUCAGAACACAGAUGGCAAAAGCCAAAUCAUGUCUUGUACAAAGGAUCGAAUAAAUGACUGAUCCAACAACAACAUCAUAGGGCACACAACUCAUCUUCUCUAUGUCUAGAUCAAUUUUAGAGCAGGACUCCUUAGUUAGCUCAAGGUGAGCACCUAAAGGAACAUGAGCAGGUCUAAUGGAAUCACAAGAGAAUUUCUCAAGAACCUUAAGCAUGUAGUCAACUCUAGAAAGCAAGAUAGUUCUAUUUUUCCUAUCUCUGAUGAUCUUGACACCUAAGAUCUUCUAAGCAGGACCUAAAUCCUUCAUAUCAAGAUAUCUUUUCAGGUCUCUUUUAAUGCCAAUAAUAAUAACAUCAUUCUUAUAAAUAAGCAAGAUGUCAUCAACGUACAAACACAUAUAAAGGAGACUUAGAAUUCACAUUUUUGAAAUAAAUGCAGGUAUCAUAACUACUUCUAGUAAAGCCAAGAGAUUGCAUGCAGGUAUGAAACUUCAUAUUCCACUACACAGGACACUGCUUUAAAUCAUAGAUAGACUUAUUUAACCAACAAACGCGAUCUGAAAAAUCUUUAUCCACAAAUCCCUUGGGUUGUUUCAUAUAAAUUGUUUCCUUUAGAUCACCAUGCAAGAAAGCAGUUUACGUCCAUUUGUUCUAAUUCUAGAUCAUACACAAUAGUCAUAGCAAGCAAAAAUCUCGCAGUCUCAUAUUUAACCACAGGAGGAAAGAUCUCAUUAUAGUCUAUGCCCUCCUUCUGAGUGCAUCCUUUAGCAACAAGAUGAGCCUUGUAUCUAGGAGGAUCACGAGAAGAAGAGCCCUCUUUUAUUCUAUAUACCCAUUUAUUAUCCAUUAUUCUAGCAUCAACAAGUUUCUUAACUAGAGUCCAGAUUUUAUUAGCAUGCAUAGACUGAUCUUCUUCUUGCAUAGCAGCAAACCAAAAUUUUGAAUUAGCACAUUUAAUAGCUUGCUCAAACGUAUCAGGGAUAAAGACAUCCAUAUACUCAGACACAUACAUGGAAAACUCAGCAAAAUUAGAAGAAUAUCUUUUAUUGGGAAUUCUAACUCUAAGCUCUCUAUCCCUAAGAAGUUGAUAGUCAUUCAAAACAUUCAAGUUUUAAAGAUUCACAUCAACAUCAUAAUUAGCAUCAAGAUUAACUGACGGGGAAACAAAGGAAGCAUUAGAAUUAGAAAUUGAAGGAGAAGAUAUACUUACUGAUCCCCCACCUGAUUGGUGAGAGAGGUCAUAUGUGUCUUGUGAGUCAUUGGACUCCUACAAGGAAGAAUUUUCCCUUGACUGGGAGUGCCCUUCUGAGCUAGUUGUCUGAUAUUCUUCCAAAUGUCCAACGUCAAAUUCUUCCUCUCUAGCACCAUUGUCAGGAUCCUCAUUAUUAUUAGGAUCAUAGAAUUGUACUAAUGAAACAGGAACAAAACCUUCUCUCUUAGGUGUAUCAGCACACUCAGGGGAACUCAUUAGUCGAUUUUUAAAUGAAAAUCAUACUCAUUAAAUGUGACGUCUCUCGAGGCAAUGAUCUUGUAUCCAUGACAAAGUACAAGAAGUAGGUUAUACCCUUUUACUCAUUCAGGAUAACCAAGCAUCACUUCCUUUUGAGCUCUAGAUUUAGCUUUCCUUGGAAAAACUGAGAAUAGGCAGUACAACCAAAAGGCUUCAAGUGACUAAAAAUAGGGGGUUCCCUGUCCAGAGUUCUUAAGGUGUUUUGAAUCCAACAGCAUUAGAGGGAGAUCGGUUUAUAAGGUAAGCAGCAGUAGUUACUGCUUCUCCCAAUAAACUGGACUUCAUGUUAGAACUGAUCAGCAUGCACCUUGCCAUUUCAAGCAAGGCUCUGUUCAUCUGUUCAUCAUUUCUAUUUUGUUGUGGAGUACCAAGAAUAGGUUAACAAUCUCUUAAUGCCAUAUUCUUGACAGAAAGAAUUAAAGGCAUUAUUACAAAACUCAAGGCCAUUAUCAAUUUUUAAGGCAUUGAACAGUGAGAUCGGUUUGAGUUUGAACUAAAAUUCAUAGUUUUUAAAUUAUUCAAAAGCUUCAUCUUUGGUUUUUAACAAUCUGACCGAUACUUUUCUUGAGUAAUGAUCAAUUAUGGACAGAAAAUACUUUCUUCCACCAACUGUGAAGACCUGUGCUGGACCCCAAAUGUCAGCAUGAAGGAACUCCAAUACUUGAGAGGCAGUAUAGGUAGAUUUACCAAAGCUGUGUCUAGCUUUUUUUCCAAACACACAGUUCUCACAAAAACCAAGAUCACAUGGGUUUUUAUCAAUAAUUCCAGUUUUAAACAAGUGAGUUAACCCAUUUUGACCUAUGUGACCCAACCGAUUAUGCUAGAGCUUAGUAGAAUCCUUAUCAUCAUGCUUAACAGUUCCAACAGUCACAUGUAAUUCAGGAAUGCCAGCAACAUAGUUUAAACCACCACGUUUAACACUCCUAAUAAGAACACGACCAUUUUUAAUCACAUCUUUGAGUACUUAAGUUGACAAUUCAUUUCAUCAAACAUUGACUCAGACAGAAAAUUCCUACGUAGACUAGGCACCCAUUUCACAUUCUGAAUGAUUAUCAUCACCCCAUCAUGCAUUCUCAUCGAAACAGAUCCAACACACUUUAUUCUAAGAGUAGUAUGGUCACCUAGCAUUUCUUCUCCCCUCCUCAAAUUUAUCAAGAGAAGAAAAUAAAUGAACAAAAGGGGUAGCAUGAAUGUUACAACCAGAAUCUAAGAUCCAAUCAUCACAAAAUUACAGAUACUAGCAACAAGAAGCUCAUAAGGGUAUUCAUCACAAGACUCAAUUAGAUUAGUGAAAUCAGGGUUAUCCUUAGCCUUAUUCUUUUCAUCAAGGAUCCUUUUAUGAGAAUCUUUAGCAUAGUGACCCUCAUUAUCAUAGUAAAAACAUUUGACUUUAGGUUAAUCUCUCCACUGUUUUUACCAUUUUCAUUCUUAUUUUUAGACUUGUUGCCUUUAGCCAUAACAGCCUCAGACUUAUUCUCGGGUUUAGAAUCACCGUGUUUACCCUUACUUUUAGACUUAAACACUCUAAAAACCUAUUCUUUCUUUAUUAUAGCUUGAGAGAUUUGAGUGAUAGUGAGAUCAUCAUGCCCAUAUUGAAUNNNNNNNNNNNNNNNNNNNNNNNNNNNNNNNNNNNNNNNNNNNNNNNNNNNNNNNNNNNNNNNNNNNNNNNNNNNNNNNNNNNNNNNNNNNNNNNNNNNNNNNNNNNNNNNNNNNNNNNNNNNNNNNNNNNNNNNNNNNNNNNNNNNNNNNNNNNNNNNNNNNNNNNNNNNNNNNNNNNNNNNNNNNNNNNNNNNNNNNNNNNNNNNNNNNNNNNNNNNNNNNNNNNNNNNNNNNNNNNNNNNNNNNNNNNNNNNNNNNNNNNNNNNNNNNNNNNNNNNNNNNNNNNNNNNNNNNNNNNNNNNNNNNNNNNNNNNNNNNNNNNNNNNNNNNNNNNNNNNNNNNNNNNNNNNNNNNNNNNNNNNNNNNNNNNNNNNNNNNNNNNNNNNNNNNNNNNNNNNNNNNNNNNNNNNNNNNNNNNNNNNNNNNNNNNNNNNNNNNNNNNNNNNNNNNNNNNNNNNNNNNNGAGUAUCAAACUAACUAGGGAAAGCAUUCAACAGAAUCACAACUUGGUGAAUUUGUUUAAUUUUAUCACCACAACGGUCUAAGUCUUGAGUUAUUUUCAGAAAAGACUCUAAGUUUUCACCAACAGUCAUAUUAAUAUCCAUUUUAAAGAUAAAGAACCUACUUAGCAAGGAUAUCAAACUAGGGAGGGACUUACACAAAAACAAAGUAUCCAAGGUAUUCCAGAGUUCUAAGGGAUUAGUAAUGCUCACAACCUACCGAGCAAUGUCGUCAGAUAAUCAAAUCAUUGUUUCAGAAUGAGCUAUUUCCCUUAUUUCCCUUUUCGUCAGAUCACUGGUUUGUUCCAUCAAAGGUUUCAAUCUUAUGUAAUCAGUCAUCGUAUGAUCCCUCACAAAAAAGAUAGUAAAACGACGCUAGAUAAACGAAUAGAAACAGAAAGUAGGAAAGAUUCACACCAUAAAGCCUAGAAAUGGGAAACUAACAUAGAUCAGCGAGAAACCAAAGCAGUAACCCUAGAUCGAUCCAAGACAAGUCAGAGUAAUAAGAUUGGAAACAUCAAGGCAAGAUUCAACACAAGAAACAGUCAAAGGAUCAAACCCUAAUAACAUGCAAGGAAAACGAGUAACUGGUGCUAUGAUACCAAUUUGAUAUUUGUAUGGCAACGGAACUACUCCUAGUGAUAGAGGCAAUUGGAUAUAAGGAGUAGAAAAGUAAAGACACCAGAUCUGUUUAUGCUGUUCAGAGAGUAAACAAUCCUAAUCAGCGGAGCCUCGGAGAGGAAAUGCUUAGCCCAAAGAUGCACUACUAGAAAAAGCGUUUAGACCGAUUACAACCCAGAUAGAUCUCAACCUAAAACCUAAGAAAAACAAGGCAAGAAGCCAACAAGGAAUCAAACAACAGAGAGAAGAGAAACUGAGGGUUUCAGGCCCCAUCCAGGCUAAUAACAUCUCACUGACGUUCUAGGAAUUGUGAGCUGGUCACCGGAGCAUCAAGGCAUCAUUGCACGCUUCGUCUUCUCGCGGCGGUUGAAAGAUUUUUUUUAGGCUAGAAUUUUCUGUAAAGGCUAAAGUAAGAGGAUAGAUUAUGCGCACCGCUUUAGCUGAUAAUCCUUUUUAUAUGAAGUGCUUUCCACCAAAAAAUCCGCGUUUCAUGUACCUGCAAAACAAAAACUAAAAACCGGGCGGUCUAACAUCUUGCCGAUUUACUAAUCGAUCUGAUUAGGCUCUAGUUACUCCUGGAUUAUAACAGAUACAGAUUAAUUAGAAGGAUAGGAUCUAAACUUUAAUAAUCCAAUAGUCACAAUCCAUUAUCUUCUUAAGAGAUAAUUAGGGCUCAUCAUCUCCUCUUAUACACCCCCAACCCGGGUCGUCACAAUAGUGGCAGUAGAGGCGGGCUCAGAAGUGCAUGCCUCCGCCCUGUUUAAAAGCACAAUAAAGAAAGUAGUUAUUACAGAAUCUUGAGAUAAUUAACUAGCAACAUGUUAAUAAUUUGAUCCCUCCUCCUCCUCAGUCCUCACACAUGGACAUGAUAAUUAUACCUUUUUCUUGUUGAAUAUAAAGUUAUCGUCACCGUUUUCAAUAUUGGUGAGCAGCUGGCGUAGCAUGCACUGGCUGCACUGCACUGUAGUAGGUAAUUCAGUCUGUAAUGUAUGGGCCGCCGACUACUGUGAACAAUUUAGCAACAUGUCGUUUCAUUAGGUGCAGCUCUUCCCUAGUGAAGUUGUAGCCUACGGUAUAACAAUUAAUAGUAAAGUACUAGAAUCUUAGAGUUGUUUGGAUAGGUGUAUUUAUAUAUAAAAUUUUAAAUUCAUGCAUUUUAUUGAAAUAUAUGAAUUUGAAAUACUUCAAAUUAAAAUCAUGUGUUUGGAGCUAAGUUAUUUUUGUAUAUAUUUCAAAUACACUACACAUUCUUUUCAUCAAACUACACACAAUUAUAUAAAAUAGCAAAACAGAAAACUCUCACAGCAGGUCGGUAGCGAAGCCGACCGAUUCGUAGCGUGGAGGUUGCCGGCUGAAGUGUUAGCAAAUGAGGGCGAACGUGCUGGCAGAUUGUAGUGGAAGUGCCGACGAUGGCGGCGGAAGUGCUAGCGGAUGGAGAUGACUCGAGAUUGCGGAAGUUGCUGGCGGAAGUGCCGGCGGAAGUGUCGGCGGAAAUGGCUGGAGGAUGAAGGUGACUCCAGAUGGGGGAGUUGCCGCGGAUAGCAAUAAAAGUGGCUGGCAACCGUGGUUGACGGCCGAGGGAGGUUUGAAUCCAGGCGAGGCGGGGGUUCCCAGCGAAUGGUGGCUAAUGAUAGAGGUCGGCUACCGAUGGAUGGUGGUCAGCUACAGGCGCGUUGGGUGGGGGUGGGAGGUUUACCGGCAGACAAUGAUUGGCGACCAGCGAUGGAGGUUGCUGGCAGAUUGCGGCUGAUAGAGCAAGUAGGGGAUGGCCAUCGACCGACGACCGAGAUUGGCAUCAUAUGUGAAGGUCGUGGCUGAAAAAAGUCGCCGACAAAUUUUUCAAUCACCGGAAAAAUUUUCAAUAACGGAAAAAAAUCUCCAGAAAAAGCAGCGGCAAUUUUUUCGAGUCCGAAAAAAUCACAGUUACAUUUACCCAAUCUUGUAAUCAAAAUAAAGAAUAGUUGAGUGGUAGGGGAAUAUCUUUUGUUGGUAGAUGUUGACUGGUACUAACUAUAUGCAUAAGUUUGUUCUAUAUUUGGAUUAGAAGACUCGGUAAAUAACUGUGUGGAUUGGUGAUCUAAUGUGUAUUAUUGCCAUCGUGAAGUAGGUUUGAACUGCUAAGCGUGUUAUUCUUCUUUCACCAUGUUUCGAGUUUGUUUAGAGUGUGAAUAUUUGUGAUGCAACUUAUUUCAGGACAGGGGGUGCACGGCGUGCACCUCCCAAAUUCAGCAGUUUGCCUAUAAAAGGCUGAUUUUGAGGAACGAGAAAGGAGAUCUUCCCACAAAUUCCCAUUGAUUUUCCACGACUUUUCUUUGCCAAAAC